GCCUUCGUGGUGUAGUGGUUAGCACAAUCGACGCGUAUUCGAGAGGUCCGUGGUUCGAGUCCCGGCGACGGGA
rfam:Stegodyphus mimosarum contig103220, whole genome shotgun sequence.